UACGUAGGGGGCAAGCGUUGUCCGGAUUUAUUGGGCGUAAAGAGCGUGUAGGCGGCCGCACAGGUCCGUUGUGAAAACUGGAGGCUUACCCUUCAGACGUCGAUGGAAACCGUGCGGCUAGAGUCCGGAAGAGGAGAAUGGAAUUCCUGGUGUAGCGGUGAAAUGCGCAGAUAUCAGGAAGAACACCCGUGGCUAAGGCGGUUCUCUAGUACGGUACUGACGCUGAGACGCGAAAGCGUGGGGAGCGAACAGG
rnacentral:rRNA from 1 species